GAGUUUGAUCCUGGCUCACAGCGAACACUGGCGGCAUGCCUAACACAUGCAAGUCGAGCGCCCCGCAAGGGGAGCGGCAAACGGGAGAGUAACACGUGGGAACGUACCCUUCAGUUCGGGACAACCCAGGGAAACUUGGGCUAAUACCGGAUACGUCCGUAAGGAGAAAGAUUUAUCGCCAAAAGAUGAGUCCGCGUCCGAUUAGCUAGUUGGUGAGGUAAUGGCUCACCAGGGCGACGAUCGGUAGCUGGUCUGAGAGGACGAUCAGCCACACUGGGACUGAGACACGGCCCAGACUCCUACGGGAGGCAGCAGUGGGGAAUAUUGGACAAUGGGGGCAACCCUGAUCCAGCCAUGCCGCGUGAGUGAUGAAGGCCUUCGGGUUGUAAACCUCUUUCAGCAGGGACUAAGCGCAAGUGACGGUACCUGCAGAAGAA
rnacentral:rRNA from 1 species